GACGAAGUGUGUCUGACAGAAAAUGUCAGUGUAGCUGAGAGACCCUAAACAGAAGACACACACACCUCUACAUAACUGCCAAUCAGACGGAGGGGAGGCGUCAGCGAAGGUUAAAUAGAAAUAUUUUGGCCUGUAAGUGAACACAUCCGCUGACACGACUCUGAAGACAAGCGAUACGUAACGUUGAUCAUCCGCUCUGGCUCUGAUCUGAGGACCGAAAGAUGCUCGGUUUGAUUCUAAUACCGCUGUUCAUUACAGUACUUAAAG